rnacentral:rRNA from 1 species
AUGCCUCCGCUCCCGAGGCUCCUCCACCGCCACCUCUCCGUCCCGUUCGCGCGCCGCCUCACCCCUUGCCAUCCGUGUCCGCCCGCGGCCGACGUCUUCCUCCGUCGCGGGCUCGCAUCUUCCUCCGCCGCCGCGGCCGCCGCUGCGGCAGCGGGCCGGGAGAAGAGCUCUAGGAAGACCCUGGGUUACCUUGUCGGCGUGGCAGUCGCCAUGGUCGGCGCCUCCUACGCGGCCGUCCCGCUCUACCGCCGGUUCUGCCAGGCCACCGGGUACGGCGGCACCGUCCAGCGCCGCGAGAGUGUAGAAGAGAAGAUCUCCCGACAUGCUCGAGUCGGAACGACACCAUCAAGAGAGAUAGUUAUCCAAUUUAAUGCUGAUGUUGCUGAUGGAAUGCCAUGGAAGUUUAUUCCUACGCAGAGAGAGGUGAAGGUUAAACCUGGUGAAAGUGCUCUUGCAUUUUAUACUGCUGAAAAUAGCAGUUCAGCUCCAAUUACUGGUGUGUCCACGUAUAAUGUUGCUCCGAUGAAGGCUGCAAUUUACUUCAAUAAAAUACAAUGUUUCUGCUUUGAGGAGCAAACACUUCUUCCAGGGGAGCAGAUUGACAUGCCGGUAUUCUUCUACAUUGACCCUGAGUUUGAGACGGACCCCAAAAUGGACGGGGUGAACAACAUAGUUCUUUCCUAUACAUUCUUUAAGGUGAAAGAGUAG